GUUUAUCAACUUUUGAAACUCUAAUCUUGAUAUGGGUUCCAUCUAAAACACUUAAGCAAUUCUACAUCACAUGUAUAAAACCUUGGGUUAGGAUACUAUAUUUAAAUCUAAAUCAACUAAAUUUUGUACGAGCUAUAUAUGGAACUCACUCCAAUACCUUGAACCAUUUCCACCUUGGGUCUAUAGAAUUAGUUGUAAUUUGCCCUGCCUUUUUACAUAGCACAUCUUGUAAGCGUAUGACAGCAUUUAAAUUGUGAAAUAAUCUACUAGUGGUUUCCCCGGACCUAUUAAACCUAUGUACGAUAACUUAGUUUUUAGUGUGAUGGGCAAUGAUAUGUAAAAACAUUGUUACUUGCUCAUCAACAAGCAUGUUCCUUGACAAAUUUA
rnacentral:lncRNA from 1 species